rnacentral:rRNA from 1 species
AUCUUUUGAUUAUGGCUCAGAACGAACGCUUGCUGCAUGCUUAAUACAUGCAAGUCGAACGAAGGCCCUAGCUUGCUAGGUGUCCUUAGUGGCGCACGGGUGAGUAACGCGUGGGAACCUGCCCAAGAGCGGGGAACAACCAUUGGAAACGAUGGCUAAUACCGCAUACGCCCUCCGGGGGAAAGGCUUCGGCCACUCAUGGAUGGUCCCGCGUCUGAUUAGCUUGUUGGUAAGGUAACGGCUUACCAAGGCGACGAUCAGUAGCUGGUUUGAGAGGAUGGCCAGCCACACUGGAACUGAGACACGGUCCAGACUCCUACGGGAGGCAGCAGUGGGGAAUUUUCUGCAAUGGGCGAAAGCCUGACAGAGCAAUACCGCGUGAGGGAUGAAGGCCUGUGGGUCGUAAACCUCUUUUUUCAAGGAGGAAGUUCUGACGUGUACUUGAAGAAUAAGCAUCGGCUAACUCCGUGCCAGCAGCCGCGGUAAGACGGAGGAUGCAAGUGUUAUCCGGAAUUACUGGGCGUAAAGCGUCUGUAGGUGGUUUAGUAAGUCGAUUGUUAAAGCUUGGGGCUUAACUCCAAAACAGCAAUGGAAACUGCUAGACUUGAGUAUGGUAGAGGUAAAAGGAAUUUCCAGUGGAGCGGUGAAAUGCGUAGAUAUUGGAAAGAACACCGAUGGCGAAGGCAUUUUACUGGGCCAUAACUGACACUCAGAGACGAAAGCUAGGGUAGCAAAUGGGAUUAGAUACCCCAGUAGUCCUAGCCGUAAACAAUGGAUACUAGGUGUUGAACAGAUCGACCUGUGCAGUACCAAAGCUAACGCGUUAAGUAUCCCGCCUGGGAAGUAUGCACGCAAGUGUGAAACUCAAAGGAAUUGACGGGGGCCCGCACAAGCGGUGGAGCAUGU